CUGUCCACCACCGCACGCUCCAUCCCUCCCAGCCGCGCCCUAGCUGAUGACCGUCCAGUGCUGGGGAGUUAAUCAAGCAUCUAGCACACUGCACAGCGUACUGAACAUUUUCAGAAAUUGCUGUGGUCUGAAGGCUGCCCGGUGGGCCUGGCGUCUGCACUGCAGGCCUGUGUGGAGCUGUCCCGUUACAC
rnacentral:lncRNA from 1 species